rnacentral:lncRNA from 1 species
CGAGUUAAAACCCACACCUUGUAAUCGUAAAACUGUAACACUACUUUGCAAAGUACGCGCCUCCUUCCUUAAACUUAAAACUUACCUAAACCAAAAUAAAAAAUUUAUUGGGUGAGGAUGCUACCAAACUAGCCUUAAAACACCCUAAAAGGGUCUGGCCAAAUCAGUGUUACAAAGUCUUAAUUACUAAUCCAAAUCGGUUAAACCACUUACACUGAUUUGGU